GUCUCCUUUAAGAUUUCUUCUUAUUUUUAUAUGCCUGGUUGUGCUUUUCUUUUUAAUCAUCAUGCUUGGGCUUCCACAUACAUCAUGGAUCUGUCAUUUAUUGUCUUUCAUUAGUUUUAGUAAAUUCUUAGUUAUUGUCUCUUCACAUAUUUUCUAGGCCCUGUUAUUUCUCUUUAUUGCUUCCGGGACUCCAAUCAAACAUAUGCUACACUUUCAAUAAUGUCCUAUGUAUGGCUCUUGGAUCAACUUUUGGAUCGGAUCUUUCCACUAUUUACUUCUCCUUUUUAAAAUUAGUAUUGCCAUAUUUAUAUUGCACUUUGGGGCUAGUUUUCAUGAAGAAAGAACUUGCUGCAGUCACUUGAGACUUUCAACUUCUCCAUUUCACAUGGAUCUUUUGGGUAUCAAGUGUCACCCCUUCAAAUUUCUAUACUGGACUUUCAGCUUCAUCCUAAGACUCUAAAUGAAGCUGAUAAUGUAUCUACAGAAUAUGAACCCUACAUUCAAGAUCACAUUCAACUACAAAAAGUGGAUAAUUUGGGGUUUUGAUUUUUAAGGUACUAGAGUAAUGAAGUUUCCAACUUCUUUUGGGGUCUAACCUGUGGUAUAAAUAUGCUACCUUAUUAUAAGAACUGGUUAAUUAUAUCUAAUGAGGACACUUAAAAUGUACAUAUAUUUAGUUUUCCAGAUUGAAUAAUUUCCACUUUUUAAUUUUGCCUACAGGUUUUAUCUCACAAUAAAUUUUAUAAACAUUUUUUUCUGAAUUAUCA
rnacentral:lncRNA from 1 species